AAUGGAAGACGGAAUGAGGGGGACAGCAGGCUUAGAGAGCGAGGGAGGGAAAGUCAGCAAGACGAGGGAGAGGAAGGCAGAGGGGGAGCGCGUGGGAAACGACAGGUGGACAACCAGACACAAGGGGGAGGAAAAGACAGACGCACUAUGAAGAAAACAGAAAGUCAACUCCAUCAGGGUGAACGGCAGGCGAGGAGGAGGAGCAGAAAAAGGAAAGGAGGGAUGUGACCUCAUGGCAGAUCUGUAAUCACCACCCACUCAUCCACCCACCACCAGACAGGCAGCAUUGUACCUGUCAGCUGGAUGAGGGCGGAGCCAGUAUGGGCAAACUGCCACUUGUGAUUGGUUGCCCAGCAAGCCAUGCUUGAAAAUCCUUCCAUAAAUUGUGAAAAAAAUCCAUAAAUUGCUGUGGAUUUGGCUCGGUUUGCAGAUGGAGAAACGCAGUCCACUGCCACCAUCAGCUAAUGACAGACUGACGGGCCGAUGUGCUGAAGGGAUCCCAGUCCACUGCGGGCAGAGUCGCAGCAGCCGAGGCUAAUCCUGAGAUUCCUGAGGGGAGAUAUUCCAAUCCUGCAGACAACCAAAACCACCCAUUCUGGUGUUGUCUACACGUCCAUAUGGAAAAGCAGGAGCAAACAUUUCCAAGCAGAAACUGUGCUACCAGCAGAGACUGUCUCACUGAGCACGAGCAUGCAGUGCAGAUUCAAGGCAUCGGUGUGUACCUCAUGAGGCAUUAGGUGAGCUGCUAAUCUGCCUGUCUUUUGGAAAGGCAGGUUCCUGGAGGUAAUCCUCAAUGUGUAGGAGGGGCAAAAAUUAUAAUAUGCCGGCACUGCAUUUAUGAACCCUGAGAAGCUGCUUAGCAUGAGGAGGGAGACCUGGGAUUGAUGGGAAAACCCUUACAGUGCAGGGUGGACUUAGAUGUAACAUCAAACACACAUCAGUCUUUCCUUCCCUGCGUUGUUGCCAACAGCGUUAAAUUGUGGCAAUACCGGGCAGCUAACACAUCCAUAUGCAUUAACUGUAUCAGUACGCAGCAAUUUACUCGACAAUACAUCAUAAAUACUGAAAAGUACAUUGCGUGUAAGUAUGGAGCAUAUGCUGUUAGCAAAGUUUCGGUGCUUGGUAUGAAUACACUGAAAUCCCCGAGCAGUCGUGAUUGCUCAUAAUUUGGGUCCAUUAUCUGAAGGUCACAACUUCAUUAACUCGUCAGCGCAAGACUUGUCAUUAACUUGUUAUUAUCAAGAGAUAUGCAGCAGUUUUAUGGUGCACGUCGUUGCUUCCUAAAGGUCUGCCGCCUUUAGAAAAAUUAGAUAUUUGUUAUUUCGAAACACUGGGCACUGUUCUCUCCAUGAUGAUGAUAAAAUAACUCAUUUACAGAUUUCGUGGUUUUGCUGAACUCUAAACUUGACGAGGCCAUAAAAUGCAGCAGGCGUAGGUGUACUUUGGCAUACAGAUCUGAUCAUGUCAGAGAGAGAAACCUGAUCGUGGUUUCUAUUGUGAUAAAAUCAAUAAUAAACUGCAUUCAAAUAAAUCGGUCAGGAUAACUGUAAAGACGGAUUAUUUCGGCCAGUACAGGCACAUUUCUGCUGAAAAAAAUGAUGCUCUGACCAUGACAUAUAUGAGAUCUAAAGAUUACUACAUGAUUUAGCAGUGAUUCUGUAGAACUGCUUUUUUUGGGGUUACACGGAAAAUGAAAAAAUUCUAAAUACCUGCAUGAACGUCGUCUGUUCCUGAUAAAACAGUUUUAUUUAUGGCGUUGCAAAAAGAACUGUAUAACAAGCCUGAAUCUGCUGUCAUUUGGAACAAACAAGUGAAUAAAACAGU